UACGGGGGGGGCAAGCGUUGUUCGGAAUUACUGGGCGUAAAGGGCGCGUAGGCGGCCUUCUAAGUCGGACGUGAAAUCCCUCGGCUCAACCGAGGAACUGCGUCUGAUACUGGAAGGCUUGAAUCCGGGAGAGGGAUGUGGAAUUCCAGGUGUAGCGGUGAAAUGCGUAGAGAUCCGGAAGAACACCGGUGGCGAAGGCGGUCUGCUGGGCAGUUGCUGACACUGAUGCGCGACAGCGUGGGGAGCAAACAGG
rnacentral:rRNA from 1 species